rnacentral:misc_RNA from 1 species
UAGUUGUGCGGAGUAAAAGAUGGUAAAGGAGUAGAAAUGAAUUCGAAUCAGAGUAAUAGGUGACGUUAUCUUGACGUUUUUAACUGUGGCUUGCAGUGUUUGAAAUGCUGUCGAAUGUUUGAUUACGCAUGCAGGUUUUGUGUAACGCAUUCAGAGAGUAAAGGGGAUCAAGGGACGGCAAUAUUAUUCGCAAGAAUGUCGUCACCUAGCGCAGGGAAAAGACGAAUGGACACUGAUGUUAUCAAGCUCAUAGAAAGUAAACAUGAAGUUACCAUUCUUGGAGGCUUAAAUGAAUUUUGUGUCAAGUUCUAUGGGCCUCGGGGAACACCCUAUGAAGGUGGAAUAUGGAAAGUAAGAGUUCAUUUACCUGAACACUAUCCUUUCAAGUCACCUUCAAUUGGGUUCAUGAAUAAAGUUUAUCAUCCAAAUAUAGAUGAAGUGUCUGGAACAGUUUGCCUUGAUGUAAUCAAUCAAGCAUGGACAGCCUUGUAUGACUUGUCAAAUAUUUUUGAGUCGUUCCUGCCUCAGUUGCUAACAUAUCCAAAUCCUAUUGACCCAUUGAAUGGAGAUGCAGCAGCUAUGUACUUACACAAACCAGAAGAUUACAAGAAGAAAGUACAAGUUUCAGACGCAACAAAUAUCUACACUACUCGACAUGGUGCAGCAGCUACUUGCCAAUGCUGCACACCCGACUGAACAAGCACCUCCUACAACAGCUGCUAUACCACCUUUUUGACAGUUUAGUGAACAAGAUGAGAAAUGGCUCGAGUGGCUGCACCAGUUCGAUGCCCAUAUGCUAGCUCACAAUGCCCCAGAUUCACAGGUCCAGAGGGCAGCGCAGCCACAGCAGCCACCAGAGGGUGUCAUCACGACACCAUGGUAUGACCCCAUGGAGAUGGAGCAUUCACCCCCUCCACCUCAUUUCGUCAUACCGAUGGAGAUGGACCCACCCACACCGCAGCAGUCGCCACCUUCCUCAUCUGGUUCAUGGCCAAUGGUGCACGGAAUGGGACCGCACCACGACAGGAGUGGCCUCAAGCCAAAGUGAAUAUAAGUGCUGUUCCUGCCAGCCUCUACCACUCAUAUCGGCUGAUUAUGUGGACAUUAGUGGACAGAAUUAGUGCAGCCUAGCAGAGAGUGCUAUGAUAUCAGAUUGUUGCAAUCCAUAUCCAUUGGUUGUUUGAACAUUGUGUAAAGCCAGGACUCGGAUUGAUAUUGCGUGUCGCCCAUCACUCGCCACAACUUUGUAUAUUAAAGUUAAGUAUUGUCAAUCUGCUUUAUAGAAGUAAAACUACUAAUGUUAUUUGCUUGAA